rnacentral:rRNA from 1 species
CUCCGAGAACUGAAAGGCUUUUUGAAGUCUUCGGAUGGAUAGAAGAACCCCUGAUGCCGUCGAGCCAAGAAAAGUUUCUAAGUUUAGCUAAUGUUGCCCGUACCGUAAACCGACACAGGUGGGUGGGAUGAGUAUUCUAAGGCGCGUGGAAGAACUCUCUUUAAGGAACUCUGCAAAAUAGCACCGUAUCUUCGGUAUAAGGUGUGGUUAGCUUUGUAUUAGGAUUUACUCCGAAAGCAAGGAAACUUACAACAAAGAGUCCCUCCCGACUGUUUACCAAAAACACAGCACUCUGCUAACUCGUAAGAGGAUGUAUAGGGUGUGACGCCUGCCCGGUGCUCGAAGGUUAAUUGAUGGGGUUAGCAUUAGCGAAGCUCUUGAUCGAAGCCCGAGUAAACGGCGGCCGUAACUAUAACGGUCCUAAGGUAGCGAAAUUCCUUGUCGGUUAAAUACCGACCUGCAUGAAUGGCGUAACGAGAUGGGAGCUGUCUCAAAGAGGGAUCCAGUGAAAUUGUAGUGGAGGUGAAAAUUCCUCCUACCCGCGGCAAGACGGAAAGACCCCGUGGACCUUUACUACAGCUUGACACUGCUACUUGGAUAAGAAUGUGCAGGAUAGGUGGGAGGCUUUGAGUAUAUGACGCCAGUUGUAUAUGAGCCAUUGUUGAGAUACCACUCUUUCUUAUUUGGGUAGCUAACCAGCUUGAGUUAUCCUCAAGUGGGACAAUGUCUGGUGGGUAGUUUGACUGGGGCGGUCGCCUCCCAAAUAAUAACGGAGGCUUACAAAGGUUGGCUCAGAACGGUUGGAAAUCGUUCGUAGAGUAUAAAGGUAUAAGCCAGCUUAACUGCAAGACAUACAAGUCAAGCAGAGACGAAAGUCGGUCUUAGUGAUCCGGUGGUUCUGUGUGGAAGGGCCAUCGCUCAAAGGAUAAAAGGUACCCCGGGGAUAACAGGCUGAUCUCCCCCAAGAGCUCACAUCGACGGGGAGGUUUGGCACCUCGAUGUCGGCUCAUCGCAUCCUGGGGCUGGAGCAGGUCCCAAGGGUAUGGCUGUUCGCCAUUUAAAGCGGUACGCGAGCUGGGUUCAGAACGUCGUGAGACAGUUCGGUCCCUAUCUGCCGUGGGCGUAAGAAGAUUGAAGAGAUUUGACCCUAGUACGAGAGGACCGGGUUGAACAAACCACUGGUGUAGCUGUUGUUCUGCCAAGAGCAUCGCAGCGUAGCUAAGUUUGGAAAGGAUAAACGCUGAAAGCAUCUAAGCGUGAAGCCAACUCUAAGAUGAAUCUUCUCUAAGCUCUCUAGAAGACUACUAGUUUGAUAGGCUGGGUGUGUAAUGGAUGAAAGUCCUUUAGCUGACCAGUACUAAUAGAGCGUUUGGCUUAUCUUUAAUAAAGCAU